ACUCCUACGGGAGGCAGCAGUGGGGAAUAUUGCACAAUGGGCGCAAGCCUGAUGCAGCCAUGCCGCGUGUUGAAGAAGGCCUUCGGGUUGUAAAGCACUUUCAGUCGUGAGGAAGGUAGUGUAGUAAUAGCUGCUAUUAUUUGACUUAGCGAANAGAAGAAGCGACCGCUAACUCCGUGCCAGCAGCCGCGGUAAUACGGAGGGUGCGAGCGUUAAUCGGAAUUACUGGGCGUAAAGCGCAUGCAGGUGGUUUGUUAAGUCAGAUGUGAAAGCCCGGGGCUCAACCUCGGAAUUGCAUUUG
rnacentral:rRNA from 1 species